rnacentral:rRNA from 1 species
AUUGAACGCUGGCGGCAGGCCUAACACAUGCAAGUCGCACGAGUGGCGGACGGGUGAGUAAUGUAUGGGAAACUGCCUGAUGGAGGGGGAUAACUACUGGAAACGGUAGCUAAUACCGCAUACCAUCGGAUGUGCCCAGAUGGGAUUUGCUAGUAGGUGGGUUAACGGCUCACCUAGGCGACGAUCCCUAGCUGGUCUGAGAGGAUGACCAGCAAAACUGGAACUGAGACACGGUCCAGACUCCUACGGGAGGCAGCAGUGGGGAAUAUUGGACAAUGGGCGUAAGCCUGAUGCAGCCAUGCCGCGUGUAUGAAGAAGGCCUUCGGGUUGUAAAGUACUUUCAGCGAGGAGGCGUUACUCGCAGAAGAAGCACCGGCUAACUCCGUGCCAGCAGCCGCGGUAAUAC